AUCCCCUUGUCUGUGGCGGAGGACCGUUGACUCGGUUGAGGGAGCUGGUCCCUGCUUCUGGCUCCGAGCUCCGCGGGGACGGGGUUGAGGGGUGGUGAGGGCCGGAAGCCCGAGAUGAAUCGCAGGAUUCCCCCGUUCACGCCUCCUUGGCCAGCCAAGCUAAUUUUCCUGAGCAAGUGGUAGAUAAUCUUCCAGCUGAUAUAUCCACUGGUAUUUACUAUGGUUGGGCCAGUGUUGGAAGUGGAGAUGUCCAUAAGAUGGUGGUGAGCAUAGGAUGGAACCCAUAUUACAAGAAUACGAAGAAGUCUAUGGAAACACAUAUCAUGCAUACCUUCAAAGAGGACUUCUAUGGGGAAAUCCUCAAUGUGGCCAUUGUUGGCUACCUGAGACCAGAAAAGAACUUUGAUUCUUUAGAGUCACUUAUUUCAGCAAUUCAAGGUGAUAUUGAAGAAGCUAAGAAACGACUAGAGUUACCAGAACAUUUGAAAAUCAAAGAAGACAAUUUCUUCCAGGUUUCUAAAAGCAAAAUAAUGAAUGGCCACUGAUGAAAAAUUGUAUUAUUUAUUCAUUCACUGUUUUCUAGUGUUUCUGUGUUUAUUACUGUUCAGCAUCAUCUUGGUUAUAUACUGAAAAUCAAACACUUUACUACAGUUGUGAAUUAGUUUAAACAGUACAAUGUUGUUAUCAUAUGCUUCAACUAUUAAAUUAAGCCCAUCAUAUCAUAGCACUAAAAAGAUUGAGUUAAAAAUAAGAUUUAAAAAAUAUAUAUUGAUUAAAAUGUACCACUAGAAAGGUAUUACAUGUGUAUAAGUAUGGGUAAAAAGGCAAGUCACUAGUUUGAGAUGAAAACUAAAAUUUUCAUGGUAAAAUGCCAGCAUGUAUGUACUUGUAUAGUGUGUACUUCUAAACAGAGAAGGCUUAUAAAAGUAAAUGCAUUAAGGCCAAGUGCAGUGGCUCACA
rnacentral:sRNA from 1 species